rnacentral:ncRNA from 6 species
GGAUAUCAUCAUAUACUGUAAGUU